CUAAACUGUGUGCUAUGGGGACCUUAUGCUUCAAAUCUGGAGAGUUUGGCAACUAAUACAACCGAAGCUGUUUUUUGUUGUUGUCUUGCGGUUUUCAAAGCUAAGGCUUUACCAAGGUGUUUGGAGUGUUGGCAAUUGUUACAAUUGUUCAACCGUUUUAACUAAUCCAGAAAUCCUUGAGGUUUUCGCGUUCAAAGAAAAGCUACCUGCUGAUGGUGUUACCUUAUCCUACACACAUCCAAUCAGCUGACAAUCGUCAAUUCUGUCUCUGUUCGUGAUGAUUUUUUCUUGCAUAGUCUCGAAGGACUAUAAGUGAGAUAAUAGCUGCAUCUGAGGUU